GGCAUAGUAAUCAACAAAAUGCUUCGGAGAGUUGAAAAUAAACAUAGAUCCGAAGAUUCC
rnacentral:rRNA from 1 species